rnacentral:lncRNA from 1 species
CUGUAAUCCCACCACUUUGGAAGGCUGAGGCAGGUGGAUCAACUGAGGUCAGGAGUUCGAGACCAGCCUGGCCAACAUGGAGAAACCCUGUCUCUGCCCAAAGCACAAAAAUUAGCCAGCCAUGGUGGUGCAUGUCUGUAGUCCCAGCUACAGGCAGAAUCACUUGAACCUGGGAGGCAGAUGUUGCAGUGAGCCGAGAUCGCACCAUUGCACUGCCUGGGCAAGAGAGUGAGACUCCAUCUCAAAAACAACAACAACAAUAAAAAAUACAAAAAAAAUUUGGACUAUUUGAAGGUUCAGUGUUACCUGUGAGGGACUAAAUUCUCACCCAAACUUCAUCAUAAGAUGAACAAAAUAACCUAGAUUUAGUUAAGACAGCACAAGUACCAGACCCCAAGCUUGCAAAGAAAAAAAGACUAGAAAAAUAUGCAAUCUGUAACAACAGCUAUCUCUAGGUGGUAGGAUAUUAAAUGUUUUCAUUUUGCUUCUUAUUUUCUAUAUUAUUUACAACAAACGUGAAAUAUGUUCUUAAAAAAAUCAUCUGCAUAUAAUGGUCCCCACUUGUAAUCCCAGGAAUUCGGGAGGCUGCAGCAGGAGUAUUGCUUCAGGCCAGGAGUUCAAGACCAGCCUCUGGGCAACAUAGUGAGACUCUGUCUCUAAAAAACAAAAAAGUAGCUGGGUAGUGUUGUUUGUCUGUUGCCUCAGCUACUCAGAAAGCUAAGGUAAGGAUGGCUUGACUCUGGGAAGUGCAGACUACAGUGAGCUGCAAUCGUGCUGCUGUACUCCAGCCUGGGAGACAGAGCAAGACCCCUGCCUCAAAAAAAAAAAAGAAAGAAAAUGAAAAAGAAGGAAGUGGGGCCUUCGGGAGGUAAUUGUCAGGCCUCUGAGCCCAAGCCUGCACAUACACAUCCAGAUGGCCUGAAGUAACUGAAGAAUCACAAAAGAAGUGAAAAUGAGUGGUUCUUGCCUUAACUGAUGACAUUACCUCGUGAAACUUCUUCUCCUGGCUCAGAAGCUCCCCCACUGAGCACCUUGUGACCCUCGCCCCUGCCCUCAAGAGAACAACCCCGUUUGACUGUAAUUUUUCACUACCUACCCAAAUCCUAUAAAACUGCCCCACCCCUAACUCCCUUUGCUGACUCUCUUUUCGGACUCAGCCUGCCUGCACCCAGGUGAUUAAAAAGCUUUAUUGCCCACACAAAGCCUGUUUGGUGGUCUCUUCACACAGACGCACAUGACAUUUGGUGCUAUGACUCGGAUCGGGGGAUCUCCCUUGGGAGAUCAAUCCCCUGUCCCCCUGCUCUUUGCUCCGUAAGAAAGAUCCACCUACGACCUCGGGUCCUCAGACCAACCAGCCCAAGGAACAUCUCACCAAUUUUAAAUCGGGUAAGCGGCCUCUUUCUACUCUCUUCUCCAACCUCUCUCACUAUCCCUCAACUUCUUUCUCCUUUCAAUUUUGGUGCCACCCUUCAAUCUCUCCCUUCCCUUAAUUUCAGUUCCUUUCCCUUUCUGGUAGAGACAGAGGAGACGUGUUUUAUCCGUGAACCCAAAACUCCGGCACCAGUCACAGACUCGGGAAGACAGUCUUCCCUUGGUGUUUAAUCACUGUGGGGACGCCUGCCUGAUUAUUCACCCACAUUUCAGAGGUGUGUUAUCACCACGGGGACACCUGCCUUGAUCCUUCACUUUGGUGGCAAGCAUAACCUCCCCUGGGGGGUUCCCACGCCGCCCCAAUCCUGCUCGAAGCAGCCCUGAGAAACGUCGCCCAUUAUCUUUCCAUACCACCCCCAAAAAUUUUCAGGGCCCCAACACUUUACCACUAUUUUAUUUUUCUUAUUAAUGUAAGAAGACAGGAAUGUCAGGCCUCUGAGCCCAAGCCUGAACGUAUACAUCCAGAUGGCCUGAAGUAACUGAAGAAUCACAAAAGAAGUGAAAAUGGCCGGUUCCUGCUUUAACUGAUGACAAUACCUUGUGAAUUGAAUUCCUUCUCCUGGCUCAGAAGCUCCCCGACUGAGCACCUUGUGACCCCCGCCCCUGCCCGCAAGAGAACAAUCCCCUUUGACUGUAAUCUUCCCCACUACCUACCCAAAUCCUAUAAAACUACCCCACCCCUAACUCCCUCUGCUCUCUUUUUGGACUCAGCCCGCCUGCACCCAGGUGAAUAAAAAGCUUCAUUGCUCUCUCCAAGCC